rnacentral:rRNA from 1 species
AACGAACGCUGGCGGCAUGCCUAACACAUGCAAGUCGAACGAGACCUUCGGGUCUAGUGGCGCACGGGUGCGUAACGCGUGGGAACCUGCCCUUAGGUUCGGAAUAACUCCCCGAAAGGGGUGCUAAUACCGGAUAAUGUCUUCGGACCAAAGAUUUAUCGCCUUUGGAUGGGCCCGCGUUGGAUUAGCUAGUUGGUAGGGUAAAAGCCUACCAAGGCGACGAUCCAUAGCUGGUCUGAGAGGAUGAUCAGCCACACUGGGACUGAGACACGGCCCAGACCCCUAGGGGAGGGAGGAGGGGGGAAUAUGGGAAAAGGGGCGAAAGCCUGAUCCAGAAAGGCCGGGGGAGGGAGAAAGGCUUUAGGGUUGAAAAGCUCUUUUCCCCGGGAAGAAAAGGAAAGGACGGGGAAAAAAAGCCCCGGCUAACCCCGG